AUAGACUAUCAAAGUCUUAUGUGUAAAAAUUCCAAAUAAAGGAAAAAUAAAUCUAUAACAGGUCCUUGAAUCAGGGCCCAAUUAAAAUGAUAUAAGCAAAUAAGCCUUUACCCAGUUAGUAGCCAGGACUAUAGAAAGUCACCAAAUUAUGAAAGACAGAAAAGGGACUAGAUUAUAGGAGUCAGGUAGGAGCCAAAUUUGAGAUACUUGUUUGUAAGCAUUUUCACAAAGAGUGUGGAUACAAGGAAGGCCUACUACUUAACAUAUGUCAAGCAUCACAACCUUGAGUCCACAUUAAUAUUUCCUAUGUGCUCCUUUUGGCACUAUUCAGGUUUAGCUUUAUGCUUCUGUGGCCUUGUACAAUGACUGUGUUUGUAUUUUUUGUCCUGGAAUUAGACAGAAUCAUUAAGCAAAGUCCCAUAAUUUUCUAAAACAAUCAAUGGCAUCAUUUUUAUAAUCUCAAGAUUUUGGGGCAUGCAUUGACAUUAUAGCAAUCUUCAAUACAGUGAAGAUGUGAUAAGUGAACCACAAUAUAGUGAGGAACAACUGUACAUGAUUGUGACAGAGUAGUAUUAAGCUAUAACAAAUGAUAAGGGGAGGGUGGUUUCAGAAAAAUUAUGUGGUAAGACAUAUUAACUGAUGCAAAAUGAAGUGAAAAGCACUAGGAGAUAUUUGUGCACAGUAACAGCAAUUUUAAUGAUGACCAAUUGUGAAAAACUUGGUUACUUUUAUCAAUACAAUGACCUCAGAUAAUUUCAAAAGACUCAGGAUGAAAAAGUUCUAUCUACUUACAGAAAGAGAACUGAUGCAUUCUGAUCUGAGUUCAAAUUGAAAUAUAAUAUUCUCACUUAAGUUGUUUUUUUUUUGCAGUAUAACUAAUAUGGAAAAAUAUUUUGCUUGGCUUCAUAUGUAUGGUUGGUAUCAUAUUUCUUGCCUUCUUGGAGAAUAGAACAAAAGUACCUGACAGGAAAUUGAAAACCAAGAAUAAAGAACCCUUACAGGAGAAUAUAAGCUCAUUGGAGAAGAGAAUGUUUUAAUUUGGCAUUUUAAUCAUCAAUAUCUACAACAGGGCUUUGGAUAUAUAACAAGUGAUUAAUAAAUAUUUGUUGAAAGAAUGGUUGAAUAAUUU
rnacentral:lncRNA from 1 species